rnacentral:rRNA from 1 species
UACGGGGGGUGCGAGCGUUGUUCGGAAUUACUGGGCGUAAAGGGCGUGCAGGCGGUCACCGCAAGUUGAAUGUGAAAUCCCUGAGCUUAACUCAGGACGUGCGUUCAAGACUGCGGGGCUUGAAUACGGGAGAGGGUCGUGGAAUUCCUGGUGUAGAGGUGAAAUUCGUAGAGAUCAGGAGGAACACUCGUGGCGAAGGCGACGACCUGGACCGAUAUUGACGCUGAGACGCGAAAGCGUGGGUAGCAAA